rnacentral:tRNA from 1 species
AAAAAGAUAAGCUAAUUAAGCUAAUGGGUUCAUACCCCAUUUACAAAGGCCCCAACCCUUUUCUUUUUA